GUAGGGAGAAAGUAGGUUGAGAGGCAUAAUAUAACAACUCCAAAUGACUACAAUACAGUCUAAAGCAACUACCAAAAUGAGGUAUAUGAGAGUUCCAAGUGCCAAGAGGGCUUACAGAAUUGGGAAUGGUAGGUAUGGUUCUGUGCAGACCACACACAAUGUGGCAUAGGUUUUGAUGAUGAAGGUGAUGAUGAUGAUGAUGAUGAUGAUGAUGAUGAUGAUGAUGAUAAUGGUGGAGGACAAAUUCCUUGUAGCAUUUAUGAUUAUAUUAGUUACUGCUGAUAUGUCUAUGAGCAUAUGGCCAGGUAGGCUCUUCAUCCACAUGCAUGCCUGGUCUCCUGCAUGAAUGAUUCCCAUCACCGAUUAUGCAGUAAUAAUAGUGAGAACUGUUAACCAAAGAGUCAGUGCUCACUGUUUUGCUUCCUCAGGGGAAUAAAGGCAGCUUUAGACAUCUCCCUUGAACUUACAGAAUAAAGCAAACACACAGGAGGAAAAGUAUAACAAAGAUUAAGGAAGCUCAUGUGUCAGAAUCAGAAUAGGCGGUACCCAGAAGCUUAGCAAAAGGAAUGAAAGAGUGUUUCUUCUUCUCUGCCCAUGAAAAUAUUCUUACAAACUGAAUCACAGGAGGAAGAGGAAAAGGUAGGCCAUUGUAGGAUGAGGGGAGGUAGGGAAAAAAAAGCAGCAAGGAGGAUUUUAAUUCAGCUUUUAGAGGAUUAAACAAGGCUGAUGCCAGGAACAUGAUGAAGUAAAUUUCCCAAAGGGGUAAAAUUUUGGCAGAAAAUCAGAAUCGUGUAUUUAGAAAGGAGCAUUAUUCUUUAACUGUAACUACACAAACUCUAAAUUGUUCAGCCUGGAAAUGAAUUUUGGAAAGAAUAUAAUAGAUGUAUUCAUUCUCCAAACAUAUAUUGAAUGAGUAUUAUAGACCAGACACUGUGCUAGGCAUUGGUAGAAAAAAUGCUGAGACAAUGUAGUCUCCCUCGAGAAGUUCAUGCAGGGUGACUCACAGGGAAACAAAAACAGCCAAUAUACAUGGUGAUGUGUGUUGUGAAGCUAUGUGUGGGCUGCUAAGGAAGAUUGGAGAGAGAAGUUCAUUUGCCCCGGGCACUCUGAAAAGGUUUCUCAGAGGAGAAACAGUCUUGAGCUGUGAUGUACAGGUUGAAAUUGGCCAAGAGGAAAAAGUAAGGAGAGGCAGUUAAGAGAAAGGGAAAAAAAUGAGAAACAGAUCAUGCAUCAGUAAUAAUUGUUGCGGAUAAGAUUCACUGUUGGAUGCCAAAGUUAGUGGGUAAAAUCUUUAACAUAAACAAGAUGUAUGUAGUCUCAAAGUAUCUCUCCCAAGAUAUGUAUUAACUAGAAAGGCAAAGAUAGUAAUUUUACAGUAGGGAAAUCCAGCAGAAACCACCUUGUGAUAGAUAGAGGUCAAUAUCACCAGUAAUAAGACAUAGCAGCAUUAUGAACUGAGUGAUAAGAUGCACUGAAGACAACAUUGUGGCAUUCUUGCCAAAAAUGCAUAACUUUGUUCCAAUCAUGAGUAAGCAUCAAAGAAACCAAAACUGAAGGACAUUCAACAAAACAACUGAUUAACGCUCUUCAAAAGUGUCAAGGUCAUGAAAGAUAAGGAAAGACUGAGCAACUGUGACAGACUGCAGGAGACUAAGGAGAAAUAAUAACUAAAUGCAAGAUAAAGUGAGCUGCUUUUCUUUUUUCUUGGAGAUCCUGGGCUUCAGACAGAGAGACUGCUGGGGGAUGUGCAAGGUGGAAAGCCGUGUUUGUGAUUCAACCCCCUCACUCUGAAGUAGAGAGCUAAAGCUAAGAGCACAUUGACUGACGACGGGAUUUAGAAGCAUCUGCUAUCUACCAAGCCAAGAUGGGGAAACGCCCACAGGGAUGAGAGGAAGGAAUUCAUAGCAUGUACAGUGAAUCGUGUUGUUGUCUAAUACUAUGCUGCUAGGAGAUGGAGUAUUUGGUUCUGUGGAGCAUGCAGCAGUCCCACUGGAAUUCUAACAUAGGCCAGGUUACAUGAAUAAGAAAGAUGGACUUUAAUGAAGAUUAUUCCCUUUGAUGUAAGAGAGACCCAUGAAAGCAUCCAAACAAAAGAAAGGAAGAAGCAAGGAUUAAGACAGUCAACUCUCCCUUAGCCACAAGCCUGAAGAAAGAGCAGGGCCUGUUUCUCUGUCGUUGUGACCACGCCAGGCCUCGUGCAGGGCCCGACCUGUGGAAGUGACUCAGGAACUGCCAGUUUUAAGUGUCCCUUUUGUGAAACUGUAACACUCAUUUCGUCUAACUUCUGCUUUACAGCCUGGCACUAAGAUGCCAAAGUUUUUCUAGUUUUAGCUCAUAAUCGACUUCUCUAUGACUCAGGUCUCUCUCGUAGAAAAGAUAAUGCUGCCAGUGGCAGUUGCCUCACAGGCUCUGUAUCACCACUCCUACCCCCCUACAAACACUCAAAUUGGCUCCAGACUGGUUCUGGAUUAGUUAAUUCCUAAGCUCUUUCUGUGUUUUCCUGUAUUUGAAGAGCACAUGUCAGAGAGUUUGGUCCUCACAUACACGUUUCCAAAGCAGUAACAGCAGCUCAGUUCUAGGACGUUGGUCCUGCUGAAACCCAGGGAGGGAAAGGGAGAACUUUCUCUAGGGGGCAGUUUUCAUAGGCCCCUUAAAUUCCAUAGCAAGGGCUCUGUUAACAGACACUGAGGCAUAGGAGUAAGAAUGUCUGCUAGCAUGAGGGUAUGGGAAUAUGCUUCUAGAAAGAGUCAUACUCAGUAGAGGACCAGGGUGCCAGGGACACAGGAAUCAAAGGAGAAAUGGAAAUCAGGAACGUUUAAAUACAUUGAAUGGGAAACAAUGAUACCUCGGAAAAGACUUGAUGAUUGGACUGCUACCGUUGCAAAUUUCUAAACUCUAGAACACAUGCUAUGUCAAAUGGCGCUUUCUGGGAUGGGAGAUAGAACUCAUAGGUGGAGUUCCCUCUCAGAUAUGAUAGAAGUACUGUGCCCAAAUUAACUGUUGUUUAAAAAGACCUCUCAACAGAGUUUAAAUUUGCAGGUGAUGGUUUUCUUGAGCAGGCAUGGCCUGAUUGACCUCCUUUGGAGGCGGAAUCAAAAUUUCGCCCAUAUACCCCCUUCUCUCAGAUAUCAUUGACUCUUUGCUGUAUUCUUCGGCAGCCCUAAGUUCUGGGUUUCUUUGCCUGAGAUGAGGGCUUGAGGACUGGGAAUUACCUUCGCUUCUACAUUGUUAGGUUUACAGCAUACUGGAGUAAUCUCUUAUGUUCUAAUAAAUGUUUGAACUCUUUAAAAAGUGAGGUACAUGACGGACUUGAUGUGGAACUAAUUCAGCUUCUGUGGUCCAAAGGAGCCACCUAUAUUCCAGUGAUGGACAACACAGGCUGUGGUUGCUAAAGGAACCAAAUUCUAUUCAGGCAUUGAGAAAACAUCUUCAACUAAGGGAAAGCAGAAUACAAAAAGGACUUCACUUUCUUUGGGCUUUUCGUACCCGAGGACAAGAAUAUUUGAUUUUGGAGUUGAAUUACUUUGAAUUUUGAUGUAUUUGAACUUGACUUUCCAGACAAUCUAAUCUAUGGACUUUAUCCCAAAAAAUUUUAUCCUGGAAGGGAGUUUAUAUUCCGAUAUUGGGAAUUUUAUUAUUGGAUUAAUUUGAAAUUUCCUGGUGAGUUAUAUUAGGCAGUGUGCUUGAACAGAAAUCAGGAUGGGGAAAACAUAGGCAGGCAAAUAUCGGUUGGCUACAGUGGUCUUAAAAUUAAUUUAAUUAAUGACCUGUUUCAGUGGGGAAACAUCUACACUGUCAUCAGCAACCUCAGUAGAGUCCUCAAUGCAGGAGGGAUUGGUAUGGGGGAGAACUUUAUAAAAAUAGAAUUAGACGACCCUAAUGGGCUGCCCAAAUUCUCCCUCAAGGAGAUAACCAUACCAUUUUGACCAUAUAUUUAAAGUUAAACCAAAUGAGUUAAGAGAACCAAGGUCUUGGGAGUAUUGAUUGGAAAGCAUCCGUUAUCCUGGUUCAUGUUCCCAAGGGAAGCAACAUCCAUCAGCAUAACCUCUUGGCUCCUCUCCUCUCAUCUUACUCACUCCCUUUCAAGGCAGGUGGAAUGAAUGAUCAAGUUGGGGAGACAGGGAGAAGAACCAGGGAUGCUCAGUCCUUUCUUUGCUCUCCUUUUGGGCUCUUUCUGCCUUCAGAGAGCCUACGUUCUUCUCUGCUCUUGGCCAUGAGCUAAGCUUAGUGCUUGAAGCUUCUCUUGGGGAGGACUACAGUUUUGUCAUGCUAUUCAAGAUUGAGGUGCAGUAUUAUGAAAUCUGUUGUUGCUUUUCACUUAAACCACAAUCUCUGUCACUUCUAUAAUUGAAAAAGUUGACGUUUUGAACUCUCUCUGCCUUGUCAUAGAUGCUGGAAAGACUUCUAUUUAUAUGCUAGAUAGUCUUUGUCAAACUACUUAACCUAUUUCUCAAUUUCCUCUUGUGUAAAAUGGGGGAAAACCUGUAUCUACUUUUACAAGAUUGUUAUAUGUUAAAAGAGUUAAUGGAAAGUGCUUAGGAAAGUACUAUGUGAGUGUUUGCUAUUACUUCUUUAUCUUGCCUAUCAAUUUGUACAGAAUUUGGGGAAUGGGGAUGAGAGAUGCUUUUUAUUGGGUCUCCCAUGAAGUCCAAUAAUCAGUACUACGUACACACACACAAUAAUGUCAUAGUCCUGGCUUCAGUUUAGUAGUAGGAACAGACAAGUGAAUUGAUAAUUGUAGUACUGCGUGUGACGUGUUAUUAUAAAGACAUGCUAUGUGCUAUGAGAAGUCAGAGAUGGGAGCAACUGACAAUUCAUAUGUUACUACAGCUGUACUCGAGACUAGGCCAAGACAGAUUGUGAAUUGGAGCCUAAUAUUUUUCAGCCCCAGAGUUAUACUUUCAUUGUAGUGCCCUCCUUCCCCAUUUUUCUGCCACACAGUGAUCUAUGCUCUCUCACCACUCCCUGGCUGCCCUCCUGGAGUUGCUCCCUCCAAUAUUCAGUUCCAGAUUCAAUAGCAGGUUGGCACAACGGCUGCCUGAGGCACCCAUCCAUAUGAGCUGCCAAACCAUCAGCUGAGGAUUGAAAACAUCCCUGGAUAUAUAACAAGGUAGAGAAAAUUGAGUUUAUCAGAAAAGAAAGGACAUGUGUACCAGACGAGGAUUAUAGUCCAAGCAGCAGAAGCUAGCUGGGGAUGAUUAAGCAGAAAAGGAAUUUAUUAAAAAGAUAUUUAGCAGAUCACAGAAUCAUCAAAAGCAAGCUGGAAACUAAGUAUUUAGGGCAAUGUUCCAAAACCACGUUGUACUGCCGGUCUGGUGAGAAAACUGCAGCUGAGGCCACUGCACAAUAGAUAAAACGAUUUGCACCACUGCCGUUUGUGCAUCAGAACGUCACUGCUUCUGCAACCACUGUUGCUGCCUGUACUGAUGCCUCUUCCUCACCAGCAAAGCAACUUGCAUCUUCUAUAGCCACUCCAGACAAUGCUGGAUAUUUCUCCUUUGGUCUUGCAGCACAACAACAGCAGAAAAACAGAUUCUGUGCAAUUCUUGCUUUUGUUACUGCUUACUUUCUAUAACAGUUUUGAAAAGGUGGCAUCCGGUUGGUGGAGUCCAGGUAACAGGUUUGAAUUCUAGCUUCAAAGAAGCUGACAAAGCCAUGUCUCUGGCUUCUCCCUUGGGGUGGUGUUGGAAAGGUCUUAGGAAGCCAGAACACAUGACAGAUGUCUAGUAUACCACUAAGAACCUUGGAGGAAGAGUGAGACCCUUUAAAGACUUGAUUGAAUAAUGAUUGAUGCUAGUAAAUACUUUAUAAAGUCUUUUUCUUUCUUUUUCAAAUUAAUGGAAAGGUUUUCUUUUUCUUUUUUUUUCCUUUUUCCUGGAAGUUUGGAGCCAGAACUCAGAAAAAUACAUGCAAGGCCAAGCACAUCCACUAUGGGUUCCCUUUAUCCAACAUUCCCCACACACUGAUCUGCCUCUCCUUUAAGUGUUGAAUACAUAUUGAAAGCAAAUUAUUUUGAAGGUGCAUUGAGUUACUAGCCUACCUGGGGUACUCACAUGUCUUCAUAUUUAAUGGUGUGUCAUGGUAAAGUUCUCUCCCUGCCUUCUCCAAAGUACGGUAUCAAAGAUUUUCUUGUUGAAAUAAGACAGUGUCAGAUAUUGUCUGAUCUUCAAAGCCUUCUGAAAUCGGGACUAAAUUAGCUCUUCAUCUUCUAGUACAUUCUUCCCCUUACCAGAUGCCAUGAUCACACUGGGCACUAUAGGCCUUGCUCAAAUAUAUCAUUCUAUUCGUGCUUCCAAGUAUUUAUGAAUUCAGGCCUUGAUGACAAAAUGCCUUCAAGUCUUGGCUCUGAAAUCUCAUAGAUAAGAUAGUUUGGUCAAGUUUUCUUCCAUAAAAAAGGAAAUACCAAUACUAUCAAGUAAAUACUCAGAAAAUGUUAGCCAUUAUUAUUAUUAUUAUUAUUGUUUUUUCUUCUUUCACAGUUGAAGUUCUACCCAAACUACCAGUUAAAAGGAAAUGCAAAUGCUUCCAGAGAACCCCACUCCCACCACCACUGUCCCCUCAAACACAAUUUUUCUUUGUUCUCCUUUUAUAACACUCAUCACAUUUUCACAGACUGGUUGUAUUAGAGUCACAUAUUAGCUAUUCCAACUGCCAUCACUUCCUUUGUGAC
rnacentral:lncRNA from 1 species